AUGCAGUCGCGCGAUUCCUUGAUGGCGUCGCCUGCCAUGGCCAUGGACAUCGCCGCCGACGACUUGUUCUACCGAGCGCUGCAAUCACUAGACGAGGGCCUAGCACAAGGCAUCGCCCAGGACGGCGCCGACAACAUGCACCUGCUGCGACAACAACAGCAGCAGCAAGCAUACGCCGACGCGCUGUUUCGCGAGCUUACUGGCGUCGCUUUUAAUUCCGAUUUGGCCAUGGCGGACACAGACGGCCCUGAUGCUCCAGAUGACCCGGCGUUGGGCGAGGCGGUGGCCGAGGCGCUGAAGACCGUGGGUGCGCCGUCCGACGGGCAGGGCUGCCCGAUCUGCAUGGAGGACGACGACGAUGACAACGCGGCGACGGGCGCGUGGAAGGAGACGCCGUGUGGGCAUCGGUUCCACGGGCGGUGCGUCGAGAGGUGGCUGCGCGUCAAGGGGAGCUGCCCCAUGUGCCGGCGCCAGAUGGUGGCCAUGCCCGCCGCCGCCGCCACUAGUACUAGUCCCGCUGGAUUCUCGGAUUUUGAGAUGGCGGUGGCGGGAAUUGAGGAUGCCAUCAUGGAGUUCAUGCGUGAGGGUGCAUCUUAUGAUAGGUCUUAG
rnacentral:rRNA from 1 species